CAUAUAUAUCAAUACUUCCUGGGCCUGAUGUAAGCUAGUCUGUCUGUCUUACUUUUGCAAUUGAAGCAUCCAUGAGCAUUUUCAUUGUGGUUCUUUUUAUAUUUUUGCCCCGCAUUUUUCUUGUUAUUUCCCCCUAUAUGAAUUAUCAAAGAGAGUUUACUGGCAGCAAUCCUGAACUCCUGAACCCUGCAGAAAGAUGCACAGUGAAUUCAUUUUAGAAAGCACUUACUCCUUCGGAUGUAAGCAAGCAUUGUACUUCAAAUAUUUAUCAAAAGCAUGCAUAGGAAUGUCAACCAGCAUUGGUCAGUAUCUAAAAUAAAUCAUUGUUUCCUUCCCUGCUGUGUAUUGUGAUGUGAUUACUUCUCUCUCAUUGAUGGUUAUGAUUUUCCUCUUUGUUCAGGAUAUGCAGCAACAGACACCUUGUCAACAAUUGAUUGCAAAAGAUCUGCAUGGCGGAGAGUGGCAUUUCCAACAUCUUAAUCAGAGUAAGCAAUAUAACACAUUGCUAUUUCAUGAUGCGAUGCUGAAUAAUUGUCUAGGGAUGGCAAUUAAUCAACUACAUUAGCUGAAAUAUGCUUUAUAUUAUUUUGUUCUGCUGCAUAUGAUUGUUAAUUGGGAAUUUAUGGAAUUGGUAACAUUUUUGUUUUUUUGUUAUAUCUAUGCAUUUAGAAUGGAGAAAGAGAAUCCAUAUAGCCAACCCCAAAUUUUUGGGAUAAAGGC
rnacentral:misc_RNA from 1 species